rnacentral:rRNA from 1 species
UGGGGAAUAUUGCACAAUGGGCGCAAGCCUGAUGCAGCCAUGCCGCGUGUAUGAAGAAGGCCUUCGGGUUGUAAAGUACUUUCAGCGGGGAGGAAGGCGAUGUGGUUAAUAACCGCGUCGAUUGACGUUACCCGCAGAAGAAGCACCGGCUAACUCCGUGCCAGCAGCCGCGGUAAUACGGAGGGUGCAAGCGUUAAUCGGAAUUACUGGGCGUAAAGCGCACGCAGGCGGUCUGUCAAGUCGGAUGUGAAAUCCCCGGGCUCAACCUGGGUACUGCAUCCGAAACUGGCAGGCUUGAGUCUCGUAGAGGGGGGUAGAAUUCCAGGUGUAGCGGUGAAAUGCGUAGAGAUCUGGAGGAAUACCGGUGGCGAAGGCGGCCCCCUGGACGAAGACUGACGCUCAGGUGCGAAAGCGUGGGGAGCAAACA